CGUAGCUCAAUUGGAUAGAGUAUCAGAUUCCGAAUCUGAAGGUUAUGGGUUCGAUCCCCACCGG
rnacentral:tRNA from 1 species